CACUGUCACUCCUACGGGGAGGCAGCAGUGGGGGAAUAUUGCACAAUGGGCGCAAGCCUGAUGCAGCCAUGCCGCGUGUGUGAAGAAGGCCUUCGGGUUGUAAAGCACUUUCAGUCGUGAGGAAGGUAGUGUAGUUAAUAGCUGCAUUAUUUGACGUUAGCGACAGAAGAAAGCACCGGCUAACUCCGUGCCAGCAGCGCGGUAAUACGGAGGGUGCGAGCGUUAAUCGGAAUUACUGGGCGUAAAGCGCAUGCAGGUGGUUUGUUAAGUCAGAUGUGAAAGCCCGGGGCGUCAACCUCGGAAUUGCAUUUGAAACUAGGCAGACUAGAGUACUGUAGAGGGGGGUAGGAAUUUCAGGUGUAGCGGUGAAAUAGCGUAGAGAUCUGAAGGAAUACCGGUGGCGAAGGCGGCCCCCUCGGACAGAUACUGACACUCAGAUGCGAAAGCGUGGGGAGCAAACAGGAUUAGAUACCCUGGUAG
rnacentral:rRNA from 1 species